rnacentral:rRNA from 2 species
GUGCUAAUACAUGCAAGUCGAAGCGAACUGAUUAGAAGCUUGCUUCUAUGACGUUAGCGGCGGACGGGUGAGUAACACGUGGGCAACCUGCCUGUAAGACUGGGAUAACUUCGGGAAACCGAAGCUAAUACCGGAUAGGAUCUUCUCCUUCAUGGGAGAUGAUUGAAAGAUGGUUUCGGCUAUCACUUACAGAUGGGCCCGCGGUGCAUUAGCUAGUUGGUGAGGUAACGGCUCACCAAGGCAACGAUGCAUAGCCGACCUGAGAGGGUGAUCGGCCACACUGGGACUGAGACACGGCCCAGACUCCUACGGGAGGCAGCAGUAGGGAAUCUUCCGCAAUGGACGAAAGUCUGACGGAGCAACGCCGCGUGAGUGAUGAAGGCUUUCGGGUCGUAAAACUCUGUUGUUAGGGAAGAACAAGUACGAGAGUAACUGCUCGUACCUUGACGGUACCUAACCAGAAAGCCACGGCUAACUACGUGCCAGCAGCCGCGGUAAUACGUAGGUGGCAAGCGUUAUCCGGAAUUAUUGGGCGUAAAGCGCGCGCAGGCGGUUUCUUAAGUCUGAUGUGAAAGCCCACGGCUCAACCGUGGAGGGUCAUUGGAAACUGGGGAACUUGAGUGCAGAAGAGAAAAGCGGAAUUCCACGUGUAGCGGUGAAAUGCGUAGAGAUGUGGAGGAACACCAGUGGCGAAGGCGGCUUUUUGGUCUGUAACUGACGCUGAGGCGCGAAAGCGUGG